rnacentral:rRNA from 1 species
GAGUUGUUGCUGGCCUCUAGGGGCAUGUGCACGCUUCACUAGUCUUUCAACCACCUGUGAACUUUUGAUAGAUCUGUGAAGUCGUCUUUCAAGUCGUCAGACUUGGUUUGCUGGGAUUUAAACGUCUCGGUGUGACAACGCAGUCUAUUUACUUAACACACCCCAAAUGUAUGUCUACGAAUGUCAUUUAAUGGGCCUUGUGCCUAUAAACCAUAAUACAACUUUCAACAACGGAUCUCUUGGCUCUCGCAUCGAUGAAGAACGCAGCGAAAUGCGAUAAGUAAUGUGAAUUGCAGAAUUCAGUGAAUCAUCGAAUCUUUGAACGCACCUUGCGCCCCUUGGUAUUCCGAGGGGCAUGCCUGUUUGAGUGUCAUUAAAUUCUCAAACUCACUUUGGUUUUUUUCCAAUUGUGAUGUUUGGAUUGUUGGGGGCUGCUGGCCUUGACAGGUCGGCUCCUCUUAAAUGCAUUAGCAGGACUUCUCAUUGCCUCUGCGCAUGAUGUGAUAAUUAUCACUCAUCAAUAGCACGCAUGAAUAGAGUCCAGCUCUCUAAUCGUCCGCAAGGACAAUUGACAAUUGACCUCAAA